CAAAGUUUCCUUUGAAGGAAAUGCCAACCCAGACAUAAGCACCCCUGAAACCCACCUGACAGAGUGACAUGGCACCAAGCUUUGCCACAUGUUCUGUGCCAGCCGCAGAUUCCUGAGGUGGCCCAGGUUCAUUACACGCCGGUGGAUAUGCAGUGCAAGGUAGAGGGUUCUGAUCAGGACUCUACUGUACAUCAACGCCAGUCUUCUCCAGCUCACAUAGUGUCCUCAGCUACCUGUGCCAGACACGACUGUCUCCACCUUGCAGAUGGAAAACGGAGGGCACAAGGACAUGAAA